rnacentral:rRNA from 1 species
UACGUAGGGUGCGAGCGUUGUCCGGAAUUAUUGGGCGUAAAGAGCUCGUAGGCGGCCUGUUGCGUCCGCUGUGAAAGCCCGGGGCUUAACCCCGGGUCUGCAGUGGAUACGGGCAGGCUAGAGAUAGGUAGGGGAGAAUGGAAUUCCCGGUGUAGCGGUGAAAUGCGCAGAUAUCGGGAGGAACACCGGUGGCGAAGGCGGUUCUCUGGGCCUUACCUGACGCUGAGGAGCGAAAGCGUGGGGAGCGAACAGG